GUGGAGUUGGAGUCAUUAUUGGCCGAAGGAGGAACAGAUCCUGACUCUGGGGACUGACACCACACCCAUCUGUGUGUGUGUGUGUGUGUGGGUGUGUGGGUGUGUGGGUGUUAUUUAUGUUGAAUGAGAAGGUGCCAGUGGAUUUAAACUACGUUCACAGCGCCUUUUACUCACUUUGGAAAAUCACUCCAGUGACAGAACGGUCGAGACAAACCUGCUGACGGUGGCAAUGAUUGAUCUCUCCUCGAGUUUUACCAGCAUAUUAAUCGGAGGAGUGGUGUUAGCAGUGCUGCUGCUGGCUUGUUUAGCAGCAUUACUUCUGUGGUUGAUGUGCAGACGCAAAGGCUCGUAUACAACCAACGAGAUGGACGGUGAUGUCGAUGACGACGACGGUGAUGAUGACAUGGUGAUGACAACCAAGCAGCGUCUGUUCGAGAAAGAAGAUGAGUGACGUGGAUAAAUGGAAUCAGGAGUGAAAGACAAAGUAUGGGUUUGCACAGUCACAACUUGUUUUUUUUCUUCUUUUCCUUUGGCCAGACCCCUAAAAAAGCUGCACUCCCAAAAAUUGCACUUUGGCGUCACCUAGUGGUAGAAAGACAACGCAAAUCUCCUGUAAAGCAUUUAAACAGGGCCAGUCAAAAAAGGACUGGAUUGUGGUAUCAUAGUUAUUGGUUAUUCUUUGAAUUCGUUUUCUAUGUUGUUUUAUUUAUCAUAUAAUUACAGCAGUUUUUGUCUAGUGUUGAUUUAAUGUCAAAUUCAAUAUUUUUACCAAAAACCUUUGCUGAUUACGAUUUUGUACAUUUUCACACUUUCUGUGGACAUUGAUUGAUUGUAAUUUACUUAAAAACACAUAUUAUAUAGAAGAAGAAAGGGUUUCCUCUUCCUGAUUACUACUCGUGAUUGGCUAAACCUUUUAUUUGUUGUUUUUGUUUGUUUUGUGUUGUUUUUAUAUUUGUUUUUUUAACCUUUAGCUAAAUACCACAUUAAAAUGAUGGCUGACCUGCAGUCUAUGCCAUGUGUUUGCCACACAGUAAAGUUUUCCAUCAUUAGCUGAUCAUUAUGGAGCUCAUGGUUAUUUUCUACACUGUAUGACUUUAUGCUUUUCUUACUUACUCAUGAUUACUGUUAAGUUGUGUAACUGUUUGAAGAACAAAAAUAAUUAUUAUUUUAGUACUCUUGUAACACUUUAAUUAGACAAACUAGAUUUAAGUUCAAAAUGAACUCUUUCUUCAUUUACUUUUAAAAAGAGAGAAAAUGGAUUCAGUUUUAUUGGUACAUUUCCCAUGCUGCCACUGGGACUCUCACUUUGUUAUCACUCACCUUUAAAAAUAAUCUUUGUGCAGACAGUUGAUUACAUUCUGACUCCCCGAUGAUCUUCAUUGGGAUGUUAACCUUUUUAAAGAGUAAAACGCAUCGACUCCGUUUUCGCGUGUUCAUAUGUCCAUCUAGUGGCUCAAAAUAAGCAUGACAGCUUUGGGGUUUUGGACAUUAUGUUGUCAUUAUUUUACCUACAUGCGGCUCAUCGGGUUGUUAUGGUUUAAAUGGAAUAUAUAAGUGAGUAUAAAAUACAUAUAUACACGUAUUUUUAUUUGUUUAAUUUGUUUUAUUUUAUGUGUUCAUAUAUUCAUUCACCUGACAUUUGGUGAUGUACAACACCAGGGUUAUAGUUCUUCUGCCCGCAGAGAUUAUGACACAUGUGGACAGGCAGUUUACGGGGCACCUUUAGGGUCUUCUUGGUAAAGUUGGCAGUUGACCAGAUAAUGUCUCUGUCUUUACGUUGUCAGGUAAGCGUAACUAUAUAAAACUAUAUGGAAACAGAAGUGUUUGUAGCGCACUUGUUCGUAUAUUCUAAAUUAUAUCAAAUGUAUGACUGUGAGUUUGCAGAGUUAAUGUGUGUCUGUGUCCAUGGAGCUAACGAGGUUUGUUAGCUCCAUGGACACUACCUUGCGUUAGUAAUGAUGCGUGUCCGUGUGGGUUGACCAGAUGAGCCGGUGCGUUUGGUCACAUUUAAUGAUGUCUCUGUCUCUGUAAUCUCUGGCAUGAAAUAAUAAUAAAAAUAUAUAUAUAUAAAAAUGCACAUGUGGAAGCGUCUGUUUAAGUGUGCAUUAUCUACGUUGUCAUUGACAUAAAUACUUUAAUUAAAAAGUUGUAAGGUAAAACAGAAGCAGCAUCACUGCUAAAACACGCCGCGGGUUGUGAAGGUAACCGCAGUCGGGACACAGGUGUAUUCAUCUGUUUUCGUGGUAUCUUCGGGGUGGUGUUUGUACAUCUGACUACAUGUGUAUCUCAAACCAUAGUGAUAAAUUACUGUAGAGUAAUAAUAGACUACUAAACUUAAAGGCUAACUAUAACCUAUAAAGUUUGAAUCUAUAAAGCUAAAUCUUUGUUCAUGAAGGGCUAAAUGUAAGCCAAAUCAUUGAAGAAAGGUUUAGGUAUUUGUACCUAGAACAUUCUCAAAGAAGUUUAGAAAAUGGACUGAAAAGUAACAGUUAUCUCAUAAAUAUAGCAAAAAAUAGUUAAUAGGUAUUUAAGAAAUGACUGAAUGUUUAUAUUUCAAAAAGUGAGUACAUGAGUUAAGAUAUUAUUCUGGUGUGAUUCCAGGCUGACUUGUAAUAAUAACCCUUGGUUUAAAGUCCCAGGUAACUACUUAACCGUGUUUUUAGGUUACUAUUUGGCUUUAUAUCUUUGUUUGCUAUUUCUGUCCUCACAGUGAGCAUUCCUCACAACUUAAAGAGACAAGACGGCAGUGAUGUGUCACACGAGGAAAGACUGACAGAGCAAAACAGACGAGAGAGGGAGAAAAACAACUUACAGAUGUCGAUCAGAUGAGAAGAAAAGCUGAUCCUGACUAGAGAAAAAUAUUUUUCUAAAGGAAACAAAGAACAAAGAGUUGAGUCAGUGAAGUCACAGAAUCUGGUGGCAAUAACAACAUGUCAACAUGAGGGCAACCAGGGCUGGAGAGCAAUAUAAUGGGAUUAUACCAAGUACAGCAGCAGCUGCUGGAAAAUUACUCGCUUUGUGUACUGCUGAUGAAAGUGGAACUGGGAAAGUGCUGUUAAUGAGUUUGAUCAGUGAUGUCGGAGUGUCAGAUCGGCGCCUUUCAUCCAGUCAUGGGUGUUUUUCCUGAGUUGGGAUGAGCAAUUCUUCCUUUGCAGACAUCAGGUGCGUGUAUGUGUGCGCGCGUGUGUGCUGACAACACUUUUAGGGCUGCAGUUGUUGUUCAGGGAACUGUUUUACUUUGUGUUGAUCUGGGGGUCAGAGGGAGUCAGAGAGGACGUGUGCCUUCUGCCAAACUGUCUGGGUUUGAUUUUUAGUCCUGAGUCAUGGUGGGCGUCUGGUAAUUGUGAGGAGGUGAAGGAAACCAGGAUGGAGGAAGUGAAGCGGAGCAACGACAGAAGAGGGAAAACAAAGAUGGAAAAACUGUUCCAGGAUAACUGUCACAUCUGACUAGGGCUCUACGUCUGACAGAACAAAGACCAGAAAUCUCCUAUUUUUAUUGAGUUUAGGUUGAGAAGUGGACAAAUCUGCAACAGAUUGUUGCUUGUUCUGUUUUGAAGGAAAGACAAUUAUCAAAGUUUUUAGAAAGUUGAAAGAACACUGGUAAGUGGAUUAUAGAGCAAACAAAGAUGAUGGCUUUAUAGCAUGGAUUUUAAAAAGAUAACCAAAACAACAAGCCCAAAACAGUGCAUUAAAAAAGUCCUAUUUCUCCACGUUCUUAGUCUGGUGAUGAAAACAAAUAAAAUAACACCAAUUAAUCCAUCCAAUAGAAAUGAAGUACGUUUCUUUCCUGGCCCGUGUCUUCUUUAAAAAUGUGUGCCAAAUGUAUGGAGAACUUCAACCUGUGUAGCAUAACACAGUGAUGUGGGGCCAAAUGAAGUAGACUGUGACUAUUAAGUCCUAGAACAGUCGGUUUUAUAGGAUUGGUCAGUUGACCCUCCUGUGACGAUGACUCACAGGGUCUUAGCGUUCCACACUGGCGGUCCAUGGAACCAAAUUGUGGACCACAUCUCAGCUAACGCUAACUCCAGUACAGAACUUUUAUGGUCUUGAACAACAUCACGAUAUAGUAGAGGUCGGUUGUUGCUUACAGUAGUUUUUGCUUUUUAGGUUUUGACUACUAAAUACCAGG